rnacentral:lncRNA from 1 species
GGAAAAUCUCUGAAACAUACAGAGGGAAUUUCCAAUUAGUCAUGGAAUGAUUUACAAUCUAUGGAUUAGCUGAAGCUUGUCGGGAUGUUUGCCAACAGACACAGUCAGAGGCAAGUUACUCUCAAGCUGUACAGCUUCCGCCUCAAUGAACUGGACUGAGAAGAGUUGUAUUUAAUAGAUGGACAGAACAAAAACCAACCACAACUAUGCUGGGUUUGCUGGGUUUUAUUGUGUGGUACCAGCAAGAGCAGCAGGAACUGAAGCACAAUCUCCUCCCCCAUCCUCCUCCAGACUCUCUCACUCACUGCCUUGCUCGGAGUGGGGUGAAGGUCAGCUAAGCCAGCCAGCCGGAGUCAGGAGCUGGGAAGACAGAAGAUCUAUGCUGCCACACCUCAGUGAAUUUCCUUAUAUCUCAGCGCUCCCCAGGGAUCUCCUGCUCUCAAGUGAGUCUCUGUUUUAUUCUAUUUUUUUUUAAACACACAUGAAGUUUUUCAGCACUGAUCUGGACUGUUCAGGGUCAGAGACCUGGUGGACAGGCAAUGGGGCAUCAGUUUAUGCUGAAGUCUUAAAAGCAGAAACAAAACAAAGAAUCCAGGAACUUGAGCAAAGAAAUGUGCAUAGAAAAACACAACUUUAAAAUAACUUCCUUGAUCUCCAAAGAGCCAGUUCCCCGUAGUGUAAGUGCUUUGGACAGAGGUUCUUUGACAGAACAUAGAUGAGUUCUGUUUAGAUAAGGGGAACCUUAAGUGUUGAAGAUACAGUGGUGAAAUGGAACGAUUAGAAUGGACUGGAAAUGAUUUCCUGUUUGCAGAUGGACUGGCACAGAGACAGGUAGACUGACUUUUUUUUAAGGCACUUCCAAAGCAUGUCAAUAUGAAGGUACCAAUGUAAGCAAGUUUGAACUGAUUAACAAGUGAUUUGUCGAGGGCAAUCCAGAGGGAAACUGCCAAACCAAGCACCUGGCUAUAUAUGUAUUCUGUGUACUGCUGUAGGGUUUACCUGUGUAAAUGAUCACUCAGAAGGACCCAAUCUAAAUAUUUUCCUCAUCUGUAAACAAUUUUUCUCCCUAUUAUUUACGGUGAACCUUGGGAAACUUGACGUUGGAAGGCUUUGUACUGAAAUCCUUCCACCAGAAAACAUGCUGGUUUGCUACUGAACAGCAUAAAGUUUCAUUGUUGUAGGAGCUUGUGCUGUUGAGAAUUUCCUCAGAUUUCUGACACUUCUUUUGAACAAAUCACUGAGGGAUUGGUUUUGUGGGGGCUGUAAAUGCAUAUAUCGAAUUAAGAAGAAAAUAUUCAGCACUUACUCAGCAAUUUCUAUGUACAGCUAUUAACUAGUAAUCUAAAAAAAAAGACUUUUCAACUGGGAGAAAUGGCCAGAUACCAGCUCACAACAUAGUGUAAUUCUAAGAAUUUCAUGACCAUCUUAAUUAUGUAUUCAUAAGCGAUCUCAGUGUCUUUUACCACAUUUCACUA